AGCGUUUGACAUGGGACGUAUGGUUACCAGAGAUGGUUUCCUUCACUUCGGGUGGCGUCCACACAGGUGCUGCAUGGCUGUCGUCAGCUCGUGUCGUGAGAUGUUGGGUUAAGUCCCGCAACGAGCGCAACCCUCACCUUCAGUUGCCAUCAUUUAGUUGGGCACUCUGAAGGAACUGCCGGUGACAAACCGGAGGAAGGUGGGGAUGACGUCAAGUCCUCAUGGCCCUUAUGGGUAGGGCUUCACACGUCAUACAAUGGUACAUACAGAGCGCUGCCAACCCGCGAGGGGGAGCUAAUCGCAGAAAGUGUAUCGUAGUCCGGAUUGUAGUCUGCAACUCGACUGCAUGAAGUUGGAAUCGCUAGUAAUCGCGGAUCAGCAUGUCGCGGUGAAUACGUUCCC
rnacentral:rRNA from 1 species